CAGUAAUCCGUGGUAGUUUACUUCAGACUUUGUCAUUCAAUAAUGAGUGAGGAAUGGGAGAUAAGACUUGGGCAGCGAGUUCAGUAUUGCAUCUUUCCCAAGCUGCUCAUGCAAGGAAAAGCCGAGCUUGCUCAAUCGUUCCAUCAGCUCGAUCAUGUACAAUACAUGAUCAGUGACAGAGGCACCAUCCCGUAUUUUGGCAUUAAAGAUGGCACAACUAGUCUUGUGCCUCUCCACAUCAUCGGAUGUGCCAAAGGCAUCCUCCAACAC
rnacentral:lncRNA from 1 species